rnacentral:rRNA from 1 species
UACGAAGGGGGCUAGCGUUGCUCGGAAUUACUGGGCGUAAAGCGCACGUAGGCGGCUCUUUAAGUCGGGGGUGAAAUCCUGGAGCUCAACUCCAGAACUGCCUUCGAUACUGGAGAGCUCGAGUCCGGGAGAGGUGAGUGGAACUGCGAGUGUAGAGGUGAAAUUCGUAGAUAUUCGCAAGAACACCAGUGGCGAAGGCGGCUCACUGGCCCGGUACUGACGCUGAGGUGCGGAAGCGUGGGGAGCAAACAGG